CUACGGGGCGCAGCAGUAGGGAAUCUUGCGCAAUGGGCGAAAGCCUGACGCAGCCAUGCCGCGUGAAUGAUGAAGGUCUUAGGAUUGUAAAAUUCUUUCACCGGGGAAGAUAAUGACGGUACCCGGAGAAGAAGCCCCGGCUAACUUCGUGCCAGCAGCCGCGGUAAUACGAAGGGGGCUAGCGUUGCUCGGAAUUACUGGGCGUAAAGGGCGCGUAGGCGGACAGUUUAGUCAGAGGUGAAAGCCCAGGGCUCAACCUUGGAAUUGCCUUUGAUACUGGCUGUCUUGAGUUCGGGAGAGGUGAGUGGAAUGCCGAGUGUAGAGGUGAAAUUCGUAGAUAUUCGGCGGAACACCAGUGGCGAAGGCGACUCACUGGCCCGAUACUGACGCUGAGGCGCGAAAGCGUGGGGAGCAAACAGGAUUAGAUACCCUAGUAGUC
rnacentral:rRNA from 1 species